CACACGAAAUUAUCAACCCAUUAAAAGAUAAAUCGCGAAGAAGCUCUAUUUGUGUACAAGUACUAAGGGCGAUUAACCACAGUUUGGUUAUUAAUAUCUUUGACCCGAGCUUGCACCAGAUGCGAUGCUUUGACACAUCCGUUUAUCAAGCGUAAUUGCAAAAAAUGAUAGAAACGUCUAGGUUGAAAAUGCUAAUGUAGUUAUGAAAAGUAGUUGCUUCUUUAAAAACGGCAACAGUUGGAAGUUUUAUUUGCUUUUCUACGCCGCAAACUGUUCGCUGAAAAUAAAUUGUGUGUACUGAA